rnacentral:rRNA from 1 species
ACGGGAGGCAGCAGUGGGGAAUAUUGCACAAUGGGGGAAACCCUGAUGCAGCAACGCCGCGUGAAGGACGACGUAUUUCGGUAUGUAAACUUCUAUCAGCAGGGAAGAAAAUGACGGUACCUGACUAAGAAGCCCCGGCUAACUACGUGCCAGCAGCCGCGGUAAUACGUAGGGGGCAAGCGUUAUCCGGAUUUACUGGGUGUAAAGGGAGCGUAGGCGGCGAGGCAAGUCAGAAGUGAAAACCCAGGGCUCAACUCUGGGAUUGCUUUUGAAACUGCUUUGCUUGAUUUCAGGAGAGGUAAGCGGAAUUCCUAGUGUAGCGGUGAAAUGCGUAGAUAUUAGGAGGAACACCAGUGGCGAAGGCGGCUUACUGGACUGACAAUGACGCUGAGGCUCGAAAGCGUGGGGAGCAAACAGGAUUAGAUACCCUGGUA